UGCAGUCGAACGCUGAAGCUUGGUGCUUGCACUGGGUGGAUGAGUGGCGAACGGGUGAGUAAUACGUGAGUAACCUGCCCUUGACUCUGGGAUAAGCCUGGGAAACUGGGUCUAAUACUGGAUACGACAUGUCACCGCAUGGUGGUGUGUGGAAAGGGUUUUACUGGUUUUGGAUGGGCUCACGGCCUAUCAGCUUGUUGGUGGGGUAAUGGCUCACCAAGGCGACGACGGGUAGCCGGCCUGAGAGGGUGACCGGCCACACUGGGACUGAGACACGGCCCAGACUCCUACGGGAGGCAGCAGUGGGGAAUAUUGCACAAUGGGCGGAAGCCUGAUGCAGCGACGCCGCGUGAGGGAUGACGGCCUUCGGGUUGUAAACCUCUUUCAGCACGGAAGAAGCGAAAGUGACGGUACGUGCAGAAGAAGCGCCGGCUAACUACGUGCCAGCAGCCGCGGUAAUACGUAGGGCGCAAGCGUUGUCCGGAAUUAUUGGGCGUAAAGAGCUCGUAGGCGGUUUGUCGCGUCUGCUGUGAAAGCCCGGGGCUUAACCCCGGGUGUGCAGUGGGUACGGGCAGACUUGAGUGCAGUAGGGGAGACUGGAAUUCCUGGUGUAGCGGUGAAAUGCGCAGAUAUCAGGAGGAACACCGAUGGCGAAGGCAGGUCUCUGGGCUGUUACUGACGCUGAGGAGCGAAAGCAUGGGGAGCGAACAGGAUUAGAUACCCUGGUAGUCCAUGCCGUAAACGUUGGGCACUAGGUGUGGGGAA
rnacentral:rRNA from 1 species